GAGAUUUCGAGGCUUUUUCCGGCGAAUCCACGGCGAGUUAGGGGUCAAGGCAGAAAUUCCGGCAAAACACCCACCUCCGGCGAAACCAGUCCGGCGACGCGAGGAAGAAGACGUGCGCGUGGGCAGCGCGUAGAUUGGGCGAGUGAGGGCGCGUGGGACCUCCAAAUUGAGUUCUGAAAAUUGUCACGCGUUCGUGACGUCGUGUAGAUCACCGUGGU